GUGGGGAAUCUUCCGCAAUGGACGAAAGUCUGACGGAGCAACGCCGCGUGAGUGAUGAAGGUCUUCGGAUUGUAAAGCUCUGUUAAUCGGGACGAAAGAGCCUAGUGUGAAUAAUGCUAGGAAGUGACGGUACCGGAAUAGAAAGCCACGGCUAACUACGUGCCAGCAGCCGCGGUAAUACGUAGGUGGCAAGCGUUGUCCGGAAUUAGUGGGCGUAAAGCGCGCGCAGGCGGAUCUGCCAGUCUGUCUUAAAAGUUCGGGGCUUAACCCCGUGAUGGGAUGGAAACUACAGAUCUAGAGUAUCAGAGAGGAAAGUGGAAUUCCUAGUGUAGCGGUGAAAUGCGUAGAUAUUAGGAAGAACACCAGUGGCGAAGGCGACUUUCUGGACGAAAACUGACGCUGAGGCGCGAAAGCCAGGGGAGCGAACGGGAUUAGAUACCCGUGUAGUCC
rnacentral:rRNA from 1 species